GUUUUUUUGAAAAUAAUUUUAAAUUUGACCUGCUCAAUGAUUAAUUUAAAUAGCUGCAGUAAAUUGRCUGUACAAAGGUAGCAUAAUCAAUAGUUUUUUAAUUAAAAGCUAGAAUGAAUGGUUUAAUAAAAGAUAAAUUUUUUUAAUUUUAUAAAAAUAGAAUUUUUUUUUUAAUAAAAAAGUUAAAAUAUAUAUAUAAGACGAGAAGACCCUAUAGAUUUUAAUAAAUUUAAUUAAAAAUUUAAAUUUAAUUUUUUUUUAAUUAAUUAAUUUUAUUUAUUUAAUUGGGGUGAUUUUUAAAUUUAUAAAACUUUAAUAUUUAUAAACAAAAAUUAUUGAUUUUUUGAUCUUAAAAUUUAGAUUAAUAGAAUAAAAUACCUUAGGGAUAACAGCAUAAUUUUUUUGGAUAGAUCAUAUUGAUAAAAAAGUUUGU
rnacentral:rRNA from 1 species